CUGCUGCACUGAUGACAGAACUGAUAAUGAAAGCAGUUCAUGGUGUGCGUCUGGUGGGAGAUUUGAGAAUCAUUGUCUUUCCAUCUGAGUGGCUCUUUACUGUAGCACUGCUGGUUUUGUCUGUAUUUGUACCAUGUGAGUAUGACCAGGAGUGGAUUUUAUCACUAUGUAUGAAUCAUCCAUCCAGCUUUGAGGUAGUUACUCAAAAAAUGUAAUUAGUUACUAGUUACUAGUUACUUCUGUAAAUUGUAAUGAGAUUACUUAAAGUAACUUCACUACUUAUUACUUUCCUUUCCUUUUUUAGGGCUCUAUGAAAUCCGUUUUAUUUUUCCCAAAUUCCGUUUUUCCGUUUAAUUUUCUGGAUUCCAUUUUUUUCUGUUUUAUUUUUCUCAACUCCUUUUUAAUGGAUUGAUUUAAUUGUAUUAAUCAAAAAGCAUGUCUAAUUAAUUUAAAUCAUAACACUUAUACAUUUUCACAUCAAUUUAUUAAAAGUUUAACAAAAAUUACAUGUUUAGGGCCCUUUGUAAAUGUUUUAUUUUUUCUUCAACAUAUGUUAUAUUGUUACCAAAUUCUGUGUUUUAGCAUGUCUAAUUAUUUAAUUCUCCGACUCAGUUACAUGUUUAGGGCCCUUUGAAAUGUUUUAUUUUUUCUUCAACAUAUGUUAUAUUGUUACCAAAUUCUGUGUUUUAGCAUGUCUAAUUAUUUAAAUGCAUAAAAACAACUAUUUAUUCAUUUUUUCUUAAAAUAGCCUUAUUUUAAUGCAUGUAAAUAUGUCAAUGACUUGCUGAAGUGCACGAAAACCAGUUUUAGACCCGGAAAUAAUCUCUCUCUCUCUCUCUCUACUGUAAUAAAAGUACUAUUAUAUAUUAUUAUAGUAAGUAUAAUAUUAUACACUAUAAUAUAAUAGUAUAUUGUAUUGAAUUAUAGUUAUUAUAUCCAAGUUGUCUGUCUGGAACGCAGCAUUAGGUUAACGUCAAUAAACGAUCGUGUACUACAAAUACGAGGCAUUAUAUAAGGUGACAUUUCAGCACCUGACAAACGGAUAGCGACUCCUAAGUAGCAUUUAAAGCACAGCUGUGCGAUUGCUUUACGUGCAUUGUUGGGAAAUGCACGUGAAACAAUAACGAACGAUCGUAAAAUUAAUCGUAGAAAACGCUCUUGAGCGAUAAGAUCAAUCGUUAUCGGGAAACCCGGGCCAUAUCGUUUGGUGUUGGGGCCAAAUUAUUAAAUUUUUGUCUCAUCUGCCUCAGAAUAUUCAAUGCGUGUUUUGGCAAAGCUCAGUCUGACUGCAUGUGGCCUUUCUUGAGAAGUGGCUUUUUUCUUGCAACACUCCCAUACAAUCCACAUUUGUGGAGAAUUUGUGAUAUUGUUUGUCGCAUACAGACAAUGACCACUCUUUGUCAUAAAUUUCUGCAACUACGGUUGCAUGGUUUACCGGUACUAUGGUAGUAUUGUGAUACUAAGACUCCAAAAUACUGCCGGUGCCAUUGUAUUUUUUAAAUGGUAGUAUCGUCAUUACGAGCCUGUCCUCCAACAAAAACGACCAUAUAGGUCGUUUGUGCAAGCACCUUAUUACGACCUAUUUUUACGUUUUAACGUUAAGCGGCCUCUAGCGGGCGUAAAAAUAAUGACAGUAUCGCGUUGCGUCUGUCGUCAUGAAAUGACGUAUAACGUCAUUACCAAUCAAAACGCACGUUUAUUUAAAUGCAAUGUGUGGACUUUUUACACCGAUCUCACAGUAAUUCGUACAUAUUUUACUAGGAGGCUUAUUCGUUCGAAUGACCACACCUAACCCCACCCCCUAAACCUAACCCUCACAGAAAUCAUGCUAAAUUAUGAUUUUUUGAGCAUAUACAUUUUACGUGCACGUCCAUUCUCGGGGAUCGAACCCAUGAUAGCAUGAUUGCAUAUCAAGGUAUAACGCAAUAAUCUACCAACUGAGCUACACGAAACGCAAAUCACGGUGCAAGUAAAAGAGUACAAAACAUUAAUAUGAACACGACCUUUUGCCGAUAGGGGCGCAAUUGUAGUAUACGCUCUGAUGGGUCGUAUUUCAGGGAUUUGGACAAACGACCUAUACGAGCGUAUUAGUUGGAGGACAGGUUGAAAAUGUUACAUAUGUAACCCUGGUUCACUGAGUAGGGAACAAGAUGCUGCAUCUGUCUCUUAUACACAUCUCUGAGCGGGCUGG
rnacentral:lncRNA from 1 species